UUACAACUCGUAAUUGAUAAUUUUCACCAUGAAAAAUACAUGGUGCCAUUUGAAAAUACCUAAAAGUAUUAACUUCUAAACCUAAAAAUAAGCAAAAAGAUAUAUUGAAAAUACCACUCCGAAAGUCUAUAAAAUACAACUUAUUCAAAAUUCAAAUAGAAUUCAACUCCUAAUUAAAAGUGCUAACUAGUUGACUAGGUUUAUCUUAAUAAAAUUACUUGCAGUAAUAAUUUAACAAUCCUAAAAAAUAGAAGAGCUUCAGCACUGUUGUUCCCUUCCGGUAGCGCUACACUACAAUGUGUAUCUUUGCAUUUCACAUUUUACCAACUCACAUCCUGCCUGACAUGAAGCAACAAUGGAGGAGAAAAUCCUCCUCUGUAAAUCUUUGAAAUCCACUGCAAGCUUUACAUCCCAACUUGUGGUCUCCCUGACAUGUUAAAGUACAUUUUGGUUAGGCCAAUGCAAUUCAUCUCUCUAAAGUGAUGUGUUGUCUGUUACCUGUUAUCCAAUUCAGGAUCUCCUAGCCCAUCCCGCAUUUCUUCGAACAUAGAACAAAGGUCCCUAAGUAUUUCGAGUUCAAUUUCCA
rnacentral:lncRNA from 1 species